ACGCUGUGUCAUUAUCAUUGUUGUGUGGGUGGUCACUCCUGACAACACAGACUCCACAGGAACAACAGAACUGCUCUGCAAGACAAACGUGUGGGGAGAAAAACUAAAAGUGGAGCGAUGUUGUGACUAAUACUUAGUCCACUGUGUAGAGUGGCCAGGUGGAUAUCAUCAUGCUGUGGCCCCUCAAACACGAGCAGCCCAGCAGCCGGAUGUCUGUCACAGUGUAAAGGGCAGAACGUGUGGACAGUUUCCAGUGAUGAGAAACCACCACCAGUUUAAAAUCCCAGCAGGGUGGACUGAGGAUAUGCCCUCGUUUCUAAGCCCGGUCAUCCAUCAGUGAAGUUUGUAAUCUAUGUGUGUCCAUGUUGCUGUGCAGUUGUUCUAAUGAUGAUUUGUCUGUUAACUCCCUGUGUGGAAGCCAGAUAAAGUCUGAGAGCUGACAAGUGCAGCAGCAGCAGCGACGACAUAGACACAUAUUUACUAACUAUACCUGUAAUGUGAUAUAAUAAUCCAUGAAUUAAGCAAAUGGCUUCUGAGUUCAUCUCUUUAUCUGUGACUGUACUCCCUCAGGGAGAGGGUCCUCCUCUGAGACCCUCUUUUCCUGAAUAUCUGGCGCCAUCAUGUGGAAAAAAUAGUACUAUAGUACUAUAGAUGGAUAGAUAGAUAGAUGGCUAGAUAGAUAGAUAGAUAGAUAGAUAGAUAGAUAGAUAGAUAGAUAGAUAGAUGGCUAGAUAGAUAGAUAGAUAGAUAGAUAGAUAGAUAGAUAGAUAGAUAGAUAGAUAAAUAAAGCUGCAUUUUGUCUUUCCUAGUCAAAUAACACCAUGCUGUUGCUUUAUAAAUAUCACUCCAAAGGCUUAUAUUGAAUAAGCUCACAGCUUGAAUGAAAACUAUCUAACACAACCAGCUGAAUCUGAAAGGUGAUCCAAUAUGUUAUUUUACUUGAAUUCUCAUUUAGAUAUAAUCUAAAAUAGUUCAGUAUUGUACUUUUGUCAAAUAUCACCCAAGGAACUCUGCAGUCCUCUGUGUUUUUUGUUGAUUCUUGGGAAAAGGGAAAAUGUAAAGUUAUAGUUCCCACGUAUGUUUUAAUAAUUGAGAUGUGAGGAAGAACAGAAAAAAUAACCAAAUUAAAUAUGAACAUUUUAUUUAUUUCAAGUAAUAUUUCCCACAUGAGUUUUCAUUAAAAACUUAGUGGGGGGUGGAGUAUGCCAUCUUCCUGGCAUCCACUGUUUCCUUCAACAAAAGGGAGAGCCUUGGUGCCCUCUUCCCUUUCUCUGUGAUAUGGUCCAGCUGGUUAUAGUAGGUGUCCAUCACUUCCUUUGACGUCACCACCUCCCAGUCCUGCUGGAUCAUCUAGAGGAGCUGACAGAGGCCCUCAAGAGACGGCCCGUCUCCUUUCUGCAACAGCCUCCUGAUGCAGCAGUGCAUGGAUUUCUCAGCCAGCACCUUGGAGAGGAAGAGCUCCCCAAUAAACCUCAGCAUAUUGAGGAACCAACCGGAAGGUUUGGCGUUCUGUUGCUCUUCCCUCAGCCGGUCGAUGACCCUCACAUCCUGGACUGGCUUCAGGCAGGACCCACUCUUUUGAUAAAUGUCCUCCUUGUCCAAGCUCUUCCUGAACUCUGCCUGGCAGUGUUUAACCAGCAGAGACCUGAAGGAGACGCUGGCUGACAGGUCGGACAAGGAUUGGACCUCCACCUGAAGAGGAGAAAACCAUAAAGGAAUAUUCACACUAAUGUAACUCACAUACAUACAUAGUGAUCAGUGUGUUAAAUUAAGGUUACAACCUGAAUACAAAUCCCAAGAUUAAAGGAAAAUAGAAUGUUGAAUUCAGUUGUCACUUAACCGUCAGUUUUAAUACAAAAUAUAUAUUUAUUAAUUUGAUCAUAUAAAUCAUCAGUUGUUUACACAUAAUUUGUAUAGAAUAAAAAAAAAUCAAACUUCACAAUCCUGUGAUUCUUCUUAUUAAAGUUUUAACACAUGUAAAUGAACUGCACUCUUCUGAUCUAGUAAAGUGUUUUACAUUACUGGUCAUCAUUCAAACAUUCAUGUACAUUCAUAUAGUGCAUUGUGUAACACUCGCACAGCAACUUGGGGCUCGGCGUCAUGCAUAAGGUCACACAGGGAUCGAACCACAUACCUUUUGAUUAAUAGAUGACCAACCCCUCGCCAUACCCAACCCUUCUUAAAACUACUGCAAAUUGAAUAUGGUGCUACUUAAAACUGAUCUGGUCCCUCUGGCCCAUCCAGCAGUUUAUUCAAGCAUCAUCACUGAAACAUCCACAAACACACACCACAAACCAGCAAUGCCAGUGUGGCUACUCCAAGUAAUAAACUGCACUUAGGUAAAGUAAGAAAAAAGAUUUUUUUUAAAAGCAGUGUGGAGGAGAGAUUCCUGUGGGUGAUUAAACACUUCUCUUACAGGCAGAGACAGGAUACGCCUUAAGCAAGAGGCAAGGCUCAUGACUGUGGACGGAUUAUGAGACACUUGGGAUUAUGGGCACAGACGUGUGAAUGGAUGCACCCCACACCUACACAAGAACCAGAGCCACAGAUUCAGAGCAGUGUUCUGUUUUGUUUUGUGUCUUUUUGAGUUGUAUUAUGUCUCUUUGUUUGUCUCUCUGUGGUUUUCUUGUAAUCGUUGUGGUUUGCCUCAAACACACUUGUAUGAAUCUUUUCACCUUCUGUCUUUUGACCCUGACCAGAGGAGAUCAGGGCCAUCACAAUGACAACAAGACAAUCUAUUCUAUCCUUUUCUAUUGUAUUUUGAAUAUUUUUGUAUAUUUCCUUGCAUUCGUAGUAGUACAUGUACUUAUUAUUACUGUUCUGGUAUCUUUUUGUGACUGUUCCCCUUGCUGGUGUAAGAAGGGAUAGGGUGUUGCUCCUUGUACAGUUUGUUAAGCCCUAUGAGGCAAAUUGUGAUUUGUGAAUAUGGAUUAUACAAAUAAAAACAAGUUUUGAUUUGA